rfam:Micrococcus sp. HMSC067E09 Micrococcus_spHMPREF2863-1.0_Cont29.1, whole genome shotgun sequence.
UACGGCGGUCAUAGCGUGGGGGAAACGCCCGGUUCCAUUCCGAACCCGGAAGCUAAGGCCCACAGCGCCGAUGGUACUGCAACCGGGAGGUUGUGGGAGAGUAGGUCGCCGCCGGAC